UGUUAUCCAGGUAAAAUUCUCUAGAAAUAGAUAAGGAUUCAACAAAGGGGUUUCUGUAGAAUGUUUUGAAGCCUUUAUCACAAAUCUAUCACAGAAAUAAACACACAAACCAGUUUCAGUUCAAUUCUAUUUCUAGAGAAAACGUUUGAAACAUUAUCUCUAGUAAACAGGUGAAUGUGAAACAUCUUCUCACCAGAUUGAGUGACUGAAUGUGUGAUAUUGGUUGGAUGGUUUUUGUAACAUAACCCCUGUUAUUGCCUGGACCCCAGACUGUAACCUUGUCCCAAAUCCUCUUUCUGACAUACCCACUGUAUUUGCUUCAUGUAGCUGAGAGAAAACCAUUUGUUUAAAUCAUUCACCUAAAAUGAAUGAACCUGUAUUUGGCUAAGAUCCGUUCGUAUUCCUGAAUAUUCUGUCGAACGACUGGCCACCCAGAGCAGGAGUUCGGUCGUCGAACACGUGGAACUAAUUUCAGCUACCUUUUCCACGAACACCGCUGAAACUUCUACCUUCGGUGUGUUCGGCUAGAAUCAUGCGAACAGAGCGCUAUUUCGGGAGCAUAAACUCACAAACAAGAUGCAUUCAUUGACCGUAGGAACGAACGGAACCGUUCAUGCAAAUGGUACUUUAUGCGAAGGGAAAAAUAGACCGACCACACAGCCUGAAUCUGUGGAACUGCUAUGUGCGUGCAGUCCGUCACAUCAGACUUUCAGCUAACUCCCGAACCACUGGUCCAAUUCAGCAGAAUUUUGGAUAUGCUGUUUCCCUGAUUAUGCUGGUUACUGAAAUGCAACUUUUAUUAAAAUUGUAUGUAUGGUUUUAAAGUUACAAAAAGUAUGUAAAAAGUGUAUUUUUUCGCUUGGAGAUAAUUGAGCUGAUAUAACAAUUAACUCAAUUAUCUCCUAAGCAGAGGGGAGGAAUGUACAGUGAUUAAUGGGUGUGUUUUAACUGUAAACCUGUAAAUGAUUGGCUGUUGUGUUUAUGUCUUCAGUAUCCAACAAGGUCCACGUGGGUGGUAACCUUGUUGGAAAAUGUGUAUAAAAG